rnacentral:rRNA from 1 species
GAUGAACGCUGGCGGCGUGCCUAAUACAUGCAAGUCGAGCGAACAGACGAGGAGCUUGCUCCUCUGAUGUUAGCGGCGGACGGGUGAGUAACACGUGGAUAACCUACCUAUAAGACUGGGAUAACUUCGGGAAACCGGAGCUAAUACCGGAUAACAUGUUGAACCGCAUGGUUCAACAGUGAAAGACGGUCUUGCUGUCACUUAUAGAUGGAUCCGCGCCGCAUUAGCUAGUUGGUAAGGUAACGGCUUACCAAGGCAACGAUGCGUAGCCGACCUGAGAGGGUGAUCGGCCACACUGGAACUGAGACACGGUCCAGACUCCUACGGGAGGCAGCAGUAGGGAAUCUUCCGCAAUGGGCGAAAGCCUGACGGAGCAACGCCGCGUGAGUGAAGAAGGUCUUCGGAUCGUAAAACACUGUUAUUAGGGAAGAACAAAUGUGUAAGUAACUAUGCACGUCUUGACGGUACCUAAUCAGAAAGCCACGGCUAACUACGUG